GAAGGUACAGCUCAGCGGUAGAGCGCGUGCUUCGCAUGCACAAGGCCCUGGGUUCCACCCCCAGUACCUCUA
rnacentral:tRNA from 1 species